rnacentral:rRNA from 1 species
UACGUAGGGCGCGAGCGUUGUCCGGAAUCAUUGGGCGUAAAGAGCUCGUAGGCGGCCUGUCGCGUCCGCUGUGAAAUCCCGGGGCUUAACCCCGGGCGUGCAGUGGAUACGGGCUGGCUGGAGGCAGGCAGGGGAGAACGGAAUUCCUGGUGUAGCGGUGAAAUGCGCAGAUAUCAGGAGGAACACCGGUGGCGAAGGCGGUUCUCUGGGCCUGUUCUGACGCUGAGGAGCGAAAGCGUGGGGAG